rnacentral:guide_RNA from 1 species
CGUAAUGGUAUUUGUCGUGUAGGUAUGUAUAUGAU